rnacentral:rRNA from 1 species
CGCAGCCGCGGUAAUUCCAGCUCCAAUAGCGUAUAUUAAAGUUGUUGCAGUUAAAAAGCUCGUAGUUGAAUUUCGGGGUUAGUAGGUUGGUCAUGCCUCUGGUAUGUACUGGUCUCACUGAUUCCUCCUUCCUGAUGAACCGUAAUGCCAUUAAUUUGGUGUUGCGGGGAAUUUGGACUGUUACUUUGAAAAAUUAGAGUGUUUAAAGCAAGCUAACGCUUGAAUACAUUAGCAUGGAAUAAUGAAAUAGGACGUUCGAUCCUAUUUUGUUGGUUUCUAGGAUUGACGUAAUGAUUAAUAGGGAUAGUUGGGGGCAUUAGUAUUCAAUUGUCAGAGGUGAAAUUCUUGGAUUUAUUGAAGACUAACUACUGCGAAAGCAUUUGCCAAGGAUGUUUUCAUUAAUCAAGAACGAAAGUUAGGGGAUCGAAG